AACUAACAGAACAGAAACAGAGGACUUGGCGUAUGGAGCAGU
rnacentral:sRNA from 1 species